UACGUAGGGCGCAAGCGUUGUCCGGAAUCAUUGGGCGUAAAGAGCUCGUAGGCGGCCUGUCGCGUCCGCUGUGAAAACCCGCGGCUCAACUGUGGGCGGGCAGCUGAUACGGGCAGGCUGGAGUUCGGUAGGGGAGACUGGAAUUCCUGGUGUAGCGGUGAAAUGCGCAGAUAUCAGGAGGAACACCGGUGGCGAAGGCGGGUCUCUGGGCCGAUACUGACGCUGAGGAGCGAAAGCGUGGGGAGCGAACAGG
rnacentral:rRNA from 1 species